UGGCGGACGGGGAGGUAAUGUCUGGGAAACUGCCUGAUGGAGGGGGAUAACUACUGGAAACGGUAGCUAAUACCGCAUAACGUCGCAAGACCAAAGAGGGGGACCUUAGGGCCUCUUGCCAUCGGAUGUGCCCAGAUGGGAUUAGCUAGUAGGUGGGGUAACGGCUCACCUAGGCGACGAUCCCUAGCUGGUCUGAGAGGAGGACCAGCCACACUGGAACUGAGACACGGUCCAG
rnacentral:rRNA from 1 species